rnacentral:lncRNA from 1 species
CAGCGAUACCUCUAUAACUUGUGGUACUUGUUCAUGGGCUGUGUAAAAAAAUGUUCUUUUAAUACAUCGAGUUACCAAUAUGCUGAAAAUUACAUCCAGUAAAACUAGCAAGACCUCUUUAACUAGAACACUGCCGUAUUUGUAGGUUCAUCGAUCCUUCGUCGGCACGGUGGUAAUGCAAGUCACCGUCGGCGGUCGCUUCGAUCCAACCACUUGAGGAUCGUGAUCCCCGAAUCCAUCUUCCACUUACCCACAGCCGUUCCUAGCUCAUAAACAAAACAUGAACAACAGAUGGUGGUGGUAGUGGUGGCUGUCAAAGAACUCAAACCCGGAGAUCUUUGUAGCCAAAUCGGAGCCGGCUUACCGAGUAUUGCCGGUCCCUGUCUUUACCACGACGACGACGCGCUAUCUACCUCCUCUUCCUCCGGCACGCCUCGUAGUUGUACGAGACGUUGCCCGGCCAACCCCCGUCGACAUCACUAGCUGGACGCCACGUCCUGGCCGGAGCGUAUCUGCUUGAACAGAACAGACACAUUCUUAUCCCUUGUUCAUCAUCACUGGAGGAAGGAGAGGAUCAAAAAGGUCGAGGCUGAUCAGCCACUGUAGUAUAUGCGUUAUCUCGCAUCACGUAGGAUCAGUGGAAGCUGGUCCUGUCGUUUUCAGAAUUAUUAAAUAAUCAGAUCCAUAGAUUACCUUACAUUCUUCCAAAAUCAUUUUCCCGCAGCGCACAGGGGCUAGGACAAAUUCUCACAGACAAAGAAGUCGUGGUCUUGCUAGUACUACUGCACAUCACCCCACUUCGCAGCAACAGCAACAGUCUUGCUAGAAUGCUAGUACUCUCGCGGCCUCGCCCGGACUGACUGGUUCAGCGCUCCUCAUCAGAAGAUUUCAAUCCUUUCUUCAGACAGAUUGGUUCAGGUAUACCAGUGCGUACACGCCUCGUUCGCCGGCCUUCAUCAGUUUCACCGAAGACCUCCCUCCAUUCGUCCCCGGAACGCACGCUAGCUCUGCAGCUGCAGGGGACGAGACGGCGUGUCCCAGAUCGACGGCGCACACGCUGCGGGUGUCUAGGUUUGGCUGGGUCAAGCUGCUGUCUCUGGAUCCUCCUCCACGGGCGGUGUCACCUUCCGACCCCGUGUGCCCCCGGACCGGGUGAAAACGGGAAGAAACGCGGGGGAAAGGCAACAACAAAAAACGGGGCGGACACGGCGUACAUAGGGGACUCGUGCUGGGUUGCUGGUUGGACAACAGCUGCGCAGCGCAGCCGGUCCCCGGAAGUGGCCGUUAGUGGUGGGCGCCUCGAGGCCGGACGAAUAGACCGGGCCUGGAUGACUAGACGGAGUACACGUCGCCCUCUUUGUCAUCGUCCAACAUUUCCUGCAUGGU